rnacentral:rRNA from 1 species
UACGGGGGGGGCAAGCGUUGUUCGGAAUUACUGGGCGUAAAGGGCUCGUAGGCGGCCAACUAAGUCAGACGUGAAAUCCCUCGGCUUAACCGGGGAACUGCGUCUGAUACUGGAUGGCUUGAAUCCGGGAGAGGGAUGCGGAAUUCCUGGUGUAGCGGUGAAAUGCGCAGAUAUCAGGAGGAACACCGGUGGCGAAGGCGGUUCUCUGGGCAUGUCCUGACGCUGAGGAGCGAAAGUGUGGGGAGCGAACAGG